rnacentral:rRNA from 1 species
GAUGAACGCUGGCGGCGUGCUUAACAUAUGCAAGUCGAACGGAAAGGCCCAAGCUUGCUUGGGUACUCGAGUGGCGAACGGGUGAGUAACACGUGGGUGAUCUGCCCUGCACUUCGGGAUAAGCCUGGGAAACUGGGUCUAAUACCGGAUAGGACCACAUUUUGGAUGGUGUGGUGGAAAGUUUUUCGGUGUGGGAUGAGCUCGCGGCCUAUCAGCUUGUUGGUGGGGUAAUGGCCUACCAAGGCGUCGACGGGUAGCCGGCCUGAGAGGGUGUACGGCCACAUUGGGACUGAGAUACGGCCCAGACUCCUACGGGAGGCAGCAGUGGGGAAUAUUGCACAAUGGGCGCAAGCCUGAUGCAGCGACGCCGCGUGGGGGAUGACGGCCUUCGGGUUGUAAACUCCUUUCGCUAGGGACGAAGCGCUAUGUGACGGUACCUGGAGAAGAAGCACCGGCUAACUACGUG